rnacentral:rRNA from 1 species
GUUUUCGGAUCGUAAAGCUCUGUUGUUAGAGAAGAAUGAUGGUGGGAGUGGAAAAUCCACCAAGUGACGGUAACUAACCAGAAAGGGACGGCUAACUACGUGCCAGCAGCCGCGGUAAUACGUAGGUCCCGAGCGUUGUCCGGAUUUAUUGGGCGUAAAGCGAGCGCAGGCGGUUUUUUAAGUCUGAAGUUAAAGGCAUUGGCUCAACCAAUGUACGCUUUGGAAACUGGAGAACUUGAGUGCAGAAGGGGAGAGUGGAAUUCCAUGUGUAGCGGUGAAAUGCGUAGAUAUAUGGAGGAACCCGGUGGCGAAAGCGGCUCUCUGGUCUGUAACUGACGCUGAGGCUCGAAAGCGUGGGGAGCAAACAGGAUUAGAUACCCUGGUAGUCCACGCCGUAAACGAUGAGUGCUAGGUGUUAGGCCCUUUCCGGGGCUUAGUGCCGGAGCUAACGCAUUAAGCACUCCGCCUGGGGAGUACGACCGCAAGGUUGAAACUCAAAGGAAUUGACGGGGGCCCGCACAAGCGGUGGAGCAUGUGGUUUAAUUCGAAGGCAACGCGAAGAACCUUACCAGGUCUUGACAUCCCGAUGCCCGCUCUAGAGAUAGAGUUUUACUUCGGUACAUCGGUGACAGGUGGUGCAUGGUUGUCGUCAGCUCGUGUCGUGAGAUGUUGGGUUAAGUCCCGCAACGAGCGCAACCCCUAUUGUUAGUUGCCAUCAUUAAGUUGGGCACUCUAGCGAGACUGCCGGUAAUAAACCGGAGGAAGGUGGGGAUGACGUCAAAUCAUCAUGCCCCUUAUGACCUGGGCUACACACGUGCUACAAUGGUUGGUACAACGAGUCGCAAGCCGGUGACGGCAAGCUAAUCUCUUAAAGCCAAUCUCAGUUCGGAUUGUAGGCUGCAACUCGCCUACAUGAAGUCGGAAUCGCUAGUAAUCGCGGAUCAGCACGCCGCGGUGAAUACGUUCCCGGGCCUUGUACACACCGCCCGUCACACCACGAGAGUUUGUAACACCCGAAGUCGGUGAGGUAACCUAUUAGGAGCCAGCC